GAGAUGAGCACAGUUAAAACCACAAAUGCAGCAACCUCCUUAUGAGAAAAGAUUAAAACUCUUCCAAAUACUUAGCUGUAGAAAUAGUGAGAGGGUUGAAGACUUUAAAAUAGAACAGCAUGGAACUUUAUGUGCAUGAACGUUUAAAUUUCGACAAGAAAUGUGAUUAACAACCAUUGAUGUGAAAAAGCAUGAGGAUAGAGUUUAGAUUUCCAUCCCACAACCAAAUUUGAUUUACACUUUACACUUCUUCUCGUUUACUUGGCUUAGAUGGCAGCAAUGCAAUUAUAUGGAUGCCAACUUCAGUACAAUCCAUACCUCCAUGGUACAACCACGAAGAAAAAGAAGAAGAAAAAGGCUCCGGCGACGAAGAAGAAGUAGACAAACAAGAAGAAGAAGAAAAAGAAGAAAUAGAAGUAGACGAAGAAGAAGAAGAAGAAGAGGCGCGAAAACCGUAAGUUGGGAACUGUCUCUUCCGGUUACAAUGGCAGAAAGUAAAACAAACAAUACAAAAAGGUUUGUUUGGAACAACUGCGGAGAAAAUGAACAACGCCAGACCCAAACACAAGCAACAAGUGACUGCGACGCGGAGAAAGCGGUGGAUCGUGAAAUGGGGCUCGACGCUGGACCAUGACUAUUGUCUUCCUCCUCCAGGUGCAGUUGAUGAGGCAUUAGAAGAAGUACAGGAGUUGGAGAAACUGGCACCAAGUCUUUCCCCCUCUGGACCCGUACCGGAUACUGGUGUGUGUCUGAUGAAGACUUCAGCCGCCUCGUGUCCACUCUGUAACAUCAGCCGCCUCGUGUCCACUCAGUAACAUCAGCCACCUCGUGUCCACUCUGUAUCAUCAGCCGCCUCGUGUCCACUCUGUAUCAUCAGCCGCCUCGUGUCCACUCAGUAACAUCAGCAGCCUCAGUCGGUACCAUCAGACGUCUCCUCUCCUCUCAUUUGAAGUCACUAACAUCAGAGACCUCCUGUACCCUCAUCAAAGACCUCCUCCCCACCUCCCAAAGAAGAAUCUGAACAUUAAGUCCUUCAGCUCCUUUUUUCGAGCAUCCUCCACUUUGAAUCAGAUCUUGGCUGUGCCUGGUCAUCUCUGCAGCCUGAGAUGGUGAAAUCACUCCUGGUAUUUGUCACCAGAUCGCACCAAGCUAAGCCCGUGACCAUCAGCUGACCAUGAACUUGCCAUCGGUUGGUCAUUUGACAAAACAGCACUUAACUUCAACCAGAAGAAAACCCAAAGAACCUCGACUGGACUUCCACUCUUCUUUUCAUUGCAUUGGUCUUGGGGCAGAAAGAGAUUUUUCACAGUGGACUCGCUCCCAGUAAAGUGAGGGUGACCCAUGCUAACCAAGCGUUGUUUUAUGGAUUGACCCUGGGUUCCUGCUUCAAUAACCCCUGACAUUUCGUGUGGCGCCUCCAGACUCUGCUUAUGCAGGAUUUCAUUCCAGUUACCAGGAACAAAAUGGUAUGGUGGAAAUUUUGGCAUGUACAUCCUUGGUCAGCAGAGCUAGACACUAAUAGGACAGUAGUGAUCUUUUCGGGACAUAUUUUGAUGACACCAUAGUCAAUAUAGACAUUUGAUCAAAAAUAUUUGCUCUUCAAUGGUUGUGGUUGAAUGGAAAUAAGGGAUCACAGUCAGGCAAAUGUUCUAAAACAUGUCCAUGUCUCAGUAUAUCUGUUGUCACUUUAUGUGAAGAUGUCCUUUCAGACCACUGUCUGAAAACUAAUAUCCAUCGUUUCUAAAAAUGAUUUAGAAUUUUGUUAAUUUUGUUAUUUUUGUACACUAUGUAAUGUUAAUGUACCCUGCUAGAAUGAAAUGGCAAGGAAUUGAAUAUGUACAGUUAAGCAGUUUAAGAAUUUUAAAACUUACUUGAAUCUUACAU